GACGAACGCUGGCGGCGUGCUUAACACAUGCAAGUCGAACGGUAAGGCCCUUCGGGGUACACGAGUGGCGAACGGGUGAGUAACACGUGGGUGAUCUGCCCUGCACUUCGGGAUAAGCCUGGGAAACUGGGUCUAAUACCGGAUAGGACCACUGCCUACAUGGGUGGUGGUGGAAAGCUUUUGCGGUGUGGGAUGGGCCCGCGGCCUAUCAGCUUGUUGGUGGGGUGAUGGCCUACCAAGGCGACGACGGGUAGCCGGCCUGAGAGGGUGACCGGCCACACUGGGACUGAGAUACGGCCCAGACUCCUACGGGAGGCAGCAGUGGGGAAUAUUGCACAAUGGGCGCAAGCCUGAUGCAGCGACGCCGCGUGAGGGAUGAUGGCCUUCGGGUUGUAAACCUCUUUCAGCACCGACGAAGCGCAAGUGACGGUAGGUGCAGAAGAAGGACCGGCCAACUACGUGCCAGCCGCCGCUGUAA
rnacentral:rRNA from 1 species